rnacentral:rRNA from 1 species
AGAACGAACGCUGGCGGCAUGCCUAAUACAUGCAAGUCGAACGAACUCUUCGGAGUUAGUGGCGCACGGGUGCGUAACGCGUGGGAAUCUGCCCCUUGGUUCGGAAUAACAGUUGGAAACGACUGCUAAUACCGGAUGAUGACGAAAGUCCAAAGAUUUAUCGCCAAGGGAUGAGCCCGCGUAGGAUUAGCUAGUUGGUGAGGUAAAGGCUCACCAAGGCAACGAUCCUUAGCUGGUCUGAGAGGAUGAUCAGCCACACUGGGACUGAGACACGGCCAGACUCCGUACGGGAGCAGCAGGUAGGGAUAUGGAACAGUGGGACAAAGCCUGACUCGAGCAAGUCGACCGUCGUGAGUUGAGUGGAA